CAGUAGCCACGGUAAUACGAAGGGUGCAAGCGUUAAUCGGAAUUACUGGGCGUAAAGCGUGCGUAGGCGGUGAGUUAAGUCUGCUGUGAAAUCCCCGGGCUCAACCUGGGAAUGGCAGUGGAUACUGGCUCGCUAGAGUGUGUCAGAGGAUGGUGGAAUUCCCGGUGUAGCGGUGAAAUGCGUAGAGAUCGGGAGGAACAUCAGUGGCGAAGGCGGCCAUCUGGGACAACACUGACGCUGAGGCACGAAAGCGUGGGGAGCAAACGGGAUUAGAUACCCCCGUAGUCCCUGUCUCUUAUAC
rnacentral:rRNA from 1 species